UACGUAGGGGGCAAGCGUUGUCCGGAAUCAUUGGGCGUAAAGCGCGUGUAGGCGGCUCGGUAAGUCCGCUCUGAAAGUCCGGGGCUCAACCCCGGGAGGCGGGUGGAUACUGUCGAGCUCGAGUCCGGAAGAGGCGAGUGGAAUUCCUGGUGUAGCGGUGAAAUGCGCAGAUAUCGGGAGGAACACCAAUGGCGAAGGCAGCUCGCUGGGACGGUACUGACGCUGAGACGCGAAAGCGUGGGGAGCAACAGG
rnacentral:rRNA from 1 species